UACGUAGGGCGCAAGCGUUGUCCGGAAUUACUGGGCGUAAAGGGCUCGUAGGCGGCCAACUAAGUCAGACGUGAAAUCCCUCGGCUUAACCGGGGAACUGCAUCUGAUACUGGAUGGCUUGAGUUCGGGAGAGGGAUGCGGAAUUCCAGGUGUAGCGGUGAAAUGCGUAGAUAUCUGGAGGAACACCGGUGGCGAAGGCGGCAUCCUGGACCGACACUGACGCUGAGGAGCGAAAGCCAGGGGAGCAAACGGG
rnacentral:rRNA from 1 species